UCUGAAAGGAGUGUCUAAACCACUUGCAUACCUCUGGAAGACAGGCAGCUCACUACCUAUCGAAGGAAUCAAUCCGUUUUUCACCAUGUCUAAGUCUUCUGAGUCUGUCCUUCUAUUGACUUGAAAUCUUCUUUUCUGUAGUUUCUAUCUCCUAAGUCAAGUUCACCUUUGGGGGCCACACAGAACAGACCCUAAGAAGCAGGAUGACCUUGAACAAGUCAUUUCCCUCUGGCCCCCAUUCUCGGUUUCUGUUGUGGCAGCUAUUACAGUGUUUGAAUUGUUCAGAAGGUGACUGUCUACUCCGCCAGUGGCCAGGCUGAGCUUGACCUGACCUCCCGCUGCCGAGAGCCUGCACAGAGCAGGUGCUGGCAGCUGAAAGCCGAACAGAACGGGGCUUCUCCCGGUCCCUAAUCAGGCCCCAAGGGAGUACCCUGUGUGAAUGAUGGUGGCCGGAUGCCAAAUGAAGUGAAAUAUCUCCUUUUCUCAGGCUGUUAACUUUUUUUCUUGUUUAAGGAAGAGGAGGAUAAUGACAUUUAGCACUUUACAGCUCAGCAGUAAAAUGAGCAGAUGGAAACAGGUCCCCAGCGUUGUGGGCGUGCUUCCAGGGGGAAACCCUCCCCGGCUCUGGUUCCAACUCUGUGGGGCCGAAGUCACUGGCAAGGUUUCCUGAUGGGCCACAGCCAGCUCCCUCCUCCUGCCCCAGGUCCUCCCCACAGGAGCCGCUCCAGGCUGCGCACAGGAACGCGGCCCCCACUUCCCGCUCCUUGCCUCUGCUCACCCUGUCCCCCUGCCUGGAGCCCUUUCCCACCUCCCGGGGCUGGUGGGAAUACAACCUCUCCAGUUGUGAGAUGAGGAGGAGAGGAGGUGGGAGGUGUUCUUGGAGAGACGGUGGUGAGCAAAAACCCCUGGGGCGCUGUGGAAAAGCCCCAGCUGGCCUCUAGGUAGCCACAGAAGACCAGUUUGACUGAGCAGGGAGAGCUCCGCAGGGAAGUCAAAGGAAAUCAUCAUCAUCAUCACUAUCAAAACUCUGUACUGAGAACUCGCCUGGGCAGUCACUGCGGCGCACGCUUCACACGCCUCGUCUCCCUCAACCCUCACAAGCCCGCUAGCUAUGUAAAGGCAUUGUCUCCAUUUUACACAUGAGGAAACUGAGGCUCAGAGGUUGAAUAACUUCCCUGAGGUCCCUGCUCACUGCCUUGAAUGGCAGGCAGGCUAAAGAGUACUCAUGAAUGGCUUUUUAACCAUUUGGGGUUUAGAUUACCUUCUCUUCUAUCACAUACGUUGCUCUGUAAACCGAACACUUAAAAAAUCAGAAUGCAUUUUUCAUGUUUCUUUUUCCAAACCAGUCACCAGCUCUGUGGCGGGGCCUGCUCUACUCGAGCAUGGAAAUUCUUUCAUUAACUGCAGCUCCUCUGAGUUUUUUCCUCCACGAAGUCAAAGAAACAAACACAAGAGCCCCUACUGUGGUGGGGCUCUUGUUCCACCUGCCCAGCACCCCUCUGUGCUGGGAACGCUCGCCUCUUCCUCCUAGGCCGCGGCCUGCCCCUUCCCCACCCUGAGUGGUGGGGGGGCUGCCAAUCGUAACACCCCGCCCCUGACCACAGAUGCAGACAGAUGACCCACGUUCGGCCGCUCAGAGUCCUGCCCAGAGAGUUUUCCAAGUGGGGGAAAGGGCCAGAAAAUACCCCACAACCCCCAUCAGCUAGAACAGCUGUUAGAGACUGUCCCUUAGGGCAAGGCUCUGCCGUGGGCAUCAAAGACGUGAAGCCCGUACCUUAGACGAGGCGGCGGGUAAUUAUCUUGCAAGCCCAGCUCAAGUACCACCUCAGUGCCCACCAUGUGCCCUCUCCCCUCAGCCACCAGGUUCCCUAGCAAGCCCCUGCCACCCUCCACCUGACUGGGAGCACUGGGUAGUUGACCCCCCUGGAGCAGCCUGUCACCAAUGGGCAAUGGAAACUGGAAGACAAAUACCCCAGCCUCAUCAGGGGAAGGAGGAGAUAGGGUAAUUCGGAGGCACAUUCCACACUCUUUCCCCAGGUCCCCUUGGGACUGAGGCCCAGGUGCCCAAGCAGUCACCAGCUCCUUCACUGUCAUACCCUGUAUCAUUUCCAGCCCGUCCCUCUCUCGCUCCUACAUCCCCUGCCGGUGCUUCCUGGGAUCACCUCCCAGAUAAACUGCUCGCCCUUGAGUCCGGGACCCAGGGUCUGCUUCUGGGGGAGCCCAGCUUUAGCACCUUUGAAGUCCUCUCUCAUCCCAAGAAGAGGACUCUGCCACCUCAAUACUCCCAUGGCACUUUCUUUGUACCUCUCAUAGAAUGUAUCGUGGCCUAUCUUGUAUUUAUUAAGUAUAAAACAGAAAGCAAUAUGCAUUUAUUGAGAACCAGCUGUGCAUCAGGCACUAUACCAGGUGUCUGGGGUUCAUUCAUUCAUUUAUUCACUAAUUAGUUCAUUUAACAAAUAUUUAUUGAGCGUUUACAACAUGCCGGGCAAUGAUCAAGGCCAGGGGUUGGCAAACUAUGGUCCACAGGCCAAAUUUGGCCCACCACCUGUUAUUGUAAAUAAAGUUUUAUUGGAAC
rnacentral:lncRNA from 1 species